UCAUCCUGAUAACAGUUUCGGUUGAAAUAAUCAGCCAAAUGUGGAGCAUUACAUAGGCACUGCAAUAUUGAGUUCAUAUAACAAGUAUUUCCUAAGUUACGAAGUCCAGUAAGAGCUGGUCCAGAACCUCUGAAAACAGGACUGAGUUUCCAAAUCUGAGAAGCAGAAAGCCUUGAGAUCUCAGCUUUAGGGUAGCAUGUUGGCUUGUCUUCCUGAUUAACUGUUGGAGUUACUGCUGGCUUCCUCUUCUCUUCCUCUUUAAUAGCCUGGGUUAUAUCUGGGGAGGAGUAAGAGCAUUUCAGUUUGGAAGGUUCCCUAUCCUGCUUAGCAGGAAUCUGUGGCUUGCCUUUAUGAGUUGGAGGGGUGGAAGGAGGUGCAGAUGAAGGAGCCAUUUCCAGUGGGUACAUAUGAACAGUGUUAGUGGUGAAUGAUAAUAAUGAAACGUUCCAGUGAUUGGAUCAAGAAACUUGGCCCAGCCUGAAGGCAGUCCUGGUACCAUCCUCCCCAUUUCUUCACUUCGUGCUAUUAUCGAAGGUUCUCGUUGAGCUUGCCUGAACCUGAAUCCCCUGUCACAGAUGUAUGGGACACAUCUCUUGUUGACUUUUUCUGUACUUCUGGGGUUGAACAUCUUCUCCCCCUGUCCUCUACAGACUUCUCGGCACCAGAGGUUUCAUGAUCACUUUUACUUUGUCUUUUUACUCUUGUUAUUUCUUUGCCCUUCUUUGCUGAGAUUUCUUUAUCCUCUUUCUUGGCCUGUUCACGUUCUUUCUUCUCCAUUUCUUCUUUUGCUUUUUGUUGCUUCUGUGUAAUUUCAUUUUCUUCAGCUUCUUGUUUCUUUUUGGCUUUUUGCUCGUGUUCUUCCCUCCU
rnacentral:lncRNA from 1 species